rnacentral:misc_RNA from 1 species
GAUGAAGAACGUAGCGAAAUGCGAUAAGUAAUGUGAAUUGCAGAAUUCAGUGAAUCAUCGAAUCUUUGAACGCACAUUGCGCCCGCCAGUAUUCUGGCGGGCAUGCCUGUUCGAGCGUCAUUUCAACCAUCAAGCCCCCGGCUUGUGUUGGGGACCUGCGGCUGCCGCAGGCCCUGAAAACCAGUGGCGGGCUCGCUAGUCACUCCGAGCGUAGUAAUACAUCUCGCUCAGGGCGUGCUGCGGGUUCCGGCCGUUAAAAAGCCUUAUUUACCCAAGGUUGACCUCGGAUCAGGUAGGAAGACCCGCUGAACUUAAGCAUAUCGAUAAGCGGAGGA